CACCACCGGCCACCACCACGCCGGCCGCCGCCGCCGCACCACCACGUGCCACUCUCCAGCCGUGCGCCCCUGCCUUUGGCUGUGCCUCUGCGGUUCUAAUUUCUACAGCUCAUACAAAUAAUCAUAUACAACUCCUGCCCGGGUCCUCGCACUGAGAUAGCCAUAGCCCAUAAGUCCAUAUGCUCUAUGAUCUUUUGCCUAACUUUGUGAACUGCAUCAGGUGAUCAGGGGAUGUGCACUUCUUCUCAUUACCUUAAAUGUUAAACGGAUAUAGUGUUGAUACAUUUUAAAUUUAUACUUUCAUUUCAAAUUUGUUUCAUUUACUGGAAUAAUUUUAGUGUUGCCUAUAUUGAAAAGAAUUGAGUUAGAACUGAAAAUACAUUGACUAUUUGAUUGUGUUGA